rnacentral:rRNA from 1 species
UACGUAGGAGGCGAGCGUUGUCCGGAGUUACUGGGCGUAAAGGGUGCGCAGGCGGCGGUUCGCGUGGAUAGAUGAAAUCUCCUGGCUUACCUGGGAGGAUGGUAUCCAGACGGGAUCGCUUGAGGGUCGGAGAGGGGCGUGGAAUUCCGGGUGGAGCGGUGAAAUGCGUAGAGAUCCGGAGGAACACCGACGGCGUAGGCAGCGCCCUGGACGACACCUGACGCUGAGGCACGAAAGCUGGGGGAGCGAACAGGAUUAGAUACCCUGGUAGUCCCAGCCCUAAACGAUGUCCACCAGGUACCGGGGGGAUCGACCCCCUCGGCGCCGCAGCUAACGUGAUGAGUGGACCGCCUGGGGAGUACGGCCGCAAGGUUGAA